AUUGAACGCUGGCGGCAGGCUUAACACAUGCAAGUCGAACGAGUGGCGGACGGGUGAGUAAUGCUUGGGAAUCUAGCUUAUGGAGGGGGAUAACUACGGGAAGGUGUAUCUAAUACCGCAUACCCAGAUGUGAGCCCAAGGGGGAUUAGGUAGGUGGGGGGGGAAAGGCUCACCAAGGCGACGAUCUCUAGCUGGUCUGAGAGGAUGACCAGCCACACGGGGACUGAGACACGGCCCAGACUCCUACGGGAGGCAGCAGUGGGGAAUAUUGCGCAAUGGGGGCAACCUGACGCAGCCAUGCCGCGUGAAUGAAGAAGGCCUUCGGGUUGUAAAGCACUUUCGGUAGGGAGGCGUUACCUACAGAAGAAGCACCGGCUAACUCCGUGCCAGCAGCCGCGGUAAUUC
rnacentral:rRNA from 1 species